rnacentral:rRNA from 1 species
GAUGAACGCUAGCUACAGGCUUAAUACAUGCAAGUCGAGGGACCGGCGCACGGGGGAGUAACAAGUAUCCAACCUGACCUUUACCCGGGGAUAGCCUUUCGAAAGAAAGAUUAAUACCCGAUAUAUAGGAUGGGGAUGCGUUCCAUUAGGUUGUUGGGGAGGUAACGGCUCACCAAGACUUCGAGGGGUAGGGGUUCUGAGAGGAGUUCCACCACGUUGGAACUGAGACACGGUCCAAACUGCGAGGGGAGGCAGCAGUGAGGAAGAUUGGUCAAUGGGCGCUAGCCUGAACCAGCCAAGUAGCGGGAAGGAUGAAGGCUUAUGGGUCGUAAACUUCUUUUAUAUAAGAAGAUGUAUUAUAUGAAUAAGGAGCGGCUAACUCCGUGCCAGCAGCCGCGGUAAUUC